rnacentral:rRNA from 1 species
AUGAAAUCCGAACAAAAGCACAAACAAGCAGCACCGAGGGCAGGCGGCAACAGAAGCUCUCAGUGUCUCACUUGGCCGAAACCAUUAGUUGCCAGCUGCCGGCUUGAAGUCGAUUAUGAGGACUUUCUCCGUCGAACCCAAGAAAUCAGUUGCAAACUCGACGUGUGCUGGGUGGUAAACGUACUCCUUGACUCCCUCUGUGCUUUCAAAGGUGGACUCGAAGACGUGUGUGAACCCCUGAUGCAUGUUCUCAAUGCUCACAUCGGUUCCCCUGCAUACCAAAGAAAGAAGAGAAAAUUGAAGCUUAAACUAUGCAAUCACAUGGCUUCCAAGCCAGCGGCCGCACAGGGAAGAAUCGCAGCCGAGGCAGGCAAUUCGUCGAAUACCUACCGGGCGCAACCCGAGCAGCUACAGCGAUGGCUCACCAGAAAGGCGGCAGCGGCAGGAGGUGCGAGAAUCGACAGAGGGGUUGGUGGCGGUGAGAUCAGCUGCCGUACCAGUGGAAGGCCUUCAUGGAGGGGACCUUGUCGACGAGGCCGGCGUAGCCGCGGAUGA